AAACAUACACACACCCCUGAUUCCAGAAACACAACAGGAGCUGACUCAAAAGCAUUCUAUUCAUCUAAAAGCACCGGUAAUUAACGAUGCUAAUAAAUGUAUAAUCCCUUUGUAAACAUCUCUUCACAAGGUCAUAAAGAAGGAAGACUGAAUGAAGGACGCCAGGCUUUCAUUUUAGAAUUAAUUUUGUCAUUGAAUGCACUCACUGCAUUAUUUGAUAGAGUACUUUUGCAUUUGAAGUAGUACAUUUGCCUUCUACCAUCUCAUUAACAUUGCUUUCAACAGAAUCAGAAAUAACACAAACCACUGCAGGGUAAUUUUGAAUGCUCAUUUGACUAUGCAGUGACAUCAAGUGGCGAGUUGAGGAAUGAUCAUAUGCUGUGUGAGAACUCCGUGUUAAAAAUUCCAUGGAGCCAGGCUAGACACCACAUUUGGCACUUUCAGCUGUUUAGAUUUCAGAGAAUUAAAAGGAAAUGGUCACCGACCUGCCUUUGAUAGUACCCGUAUACCCCUUCCCACCAUAAGAAACCAGCGUUCCUUAGAGAAAUGGCUAAUUCUAGCUCUAGGGCAAGAAAUGCUAAGAUGUGCUCAAAACAUCUCAUUAUACCAGCAAGCCAGGGAGCCAUCAACGACUACUGGAGCUGUGUCAAAAGGACCAACAAACCAACUUGAAGAGGCUCCCGCUGGCCAACAGUGGGGCAAUUAGAGCAUCAAUAAGAAU
ensembl:lncRNA GPRC5D-AS1 GPRC5D and HEBP1 antisense RNA 1